rnacentral:rRNA from 1 species
UACGAAGGGGGCUAGCGUUGCUCGGAAUCACUGGGCGUAAAGGGUGCGUAGGCGGGUCUUUAAGUCAGGGGUGAAAUCCUGGAGCUCAACUCCAGAACUGCCUUUGAUACUGGGAAGCUCGAGUCCGGAAGAGGUGAGUGGAACUCCGAGUGUAGAGGUGAAAUUCGUAGAUAUUCGGAAGAACACCCGUGGCGAAGGCGGCUCUCUGGGACGGUACUGACGCUGAGACGCGAAAGCGUGGGGAGCGAACAGG